GAAUAAGAAGCAAUAAAUUGCAUUUAAUUUCGACUUAAAAGAAUGAGUUACUUAACUCCUUAUUUA
rnacentral:tRNA from 1 species